rnacentral:tRNA from 2 species
GCCCCUGUAGUUCAAUGGACAGAACUGCGGACUUCUAAGCCGCUAAUGGGGGUUCGAUUCCUCCCAGGGGCG